GACCAUAGCUCAGUGGUAGAGCAUAUGCUGUGCAUCUCAAAGGUCCUAGGUUCAAUCCAUGGCAUCUCCA